UUAGUGAGGCAUUGGACUGACAGUUGCGGGUUGAAGUCCUGCUAAGGGCUAUCCGUCAAAUUGGCUGCCGUAUCUUUUUUCUUCUCCAUUCGGUCUCAAUGCAGAGUGUUGGAGUGUUUCUAAAGGGAUGGACGUGGGUUAAAUACCCUAUGGUUGGGGCUGUGCCCUCCUGUGCCUACUGAACUGGUAUCAGUGUUAACUCUGAGUACUGGCUCAGUUCAGCAGGAACAGGAGUGAAGCCCAUUGUGUGCCAUUACAUCAUCAUCGUCUUCCAAUCAGCGUGCAGCAAGAUGCCCAGUACCCCAUUGAACCCUAAAAUAUAAGACAGAGGCAUUGCAGCCUGUAAGAAUUGAAUAUAUCUGCUUCAAGUAUGAAUGUUUCACAACCAGAUUUAUCACUUUGGCUAGUCUUGGUGGCAGGCAGUGCGGAGAGGGUACAUUGAAUUUGCUGCAUACUAAUGCAGUCAUUCUCCACAGACUUCAUGUUUAUUUCAAUAUCACAUUCCUCCCUUGACAAGGCCGCAGACACGCACACAUGCACUCUUUAUUUCUCUGAGCCAUCAGAGAGCAAACGGAGAUGCACACAGUUAUGACUAUAACUACUGUUCCCUGAAGGAGGGAAUUAGCUAUAACACACUAUGAAGAGUCAACGACAAAUCCUAUUCACCUGAAGAACUGAACUGAAAUCACACCCGCCCUCGGAAGCCCCGCCUUCCUGGCUAUAAUACCGGGGAUCACAAUAAUUUCCUCAUUCCAUCCUUUAGGGGAACAAUAGUUAUAUUCAUAACUGUAUAUUCCCUUUCAGUUGGUCACUCUGUAUAACAUACUAUGGGUUACAUACAAUCACGCCAAAAGCCAGCUCAGAGGGUACCAAACUAGGAGACUCAACGCAGCCCAAGCACAUACAGGUUCCACCGGCUCCAAAAAGAGGUUACAGAAGACACCUUUUUCCCCACUACUUAACUGUGAAGCAUGAACUGUUAAAGUCUCAUUAGGCCUGAACUGUCAGGUCCCCAUAUAGGGAAGCAGAACCUGCUGAAACUUGGCUAUAAGCACAGAAUCGCUGCCACUGCAGCCCAAGUCCAUAGACCCAACUAUUCCAAGAACAAUACUUACCAUACGAGCCUGAAAUGUCAGAACUACAAAACAACAGAACACCUGUCGGGACUUUGUAAAGCAUACACACGUUCUGCAUAGCAUCAACUAGAGUCGAUGAACCACGGCAGCUCGAGGCGCAAACCCACAGGAAACCUGCAGUAACCUGGAAACGGUGUACUUGUACGCUGCCACGGCAGCCCAAGGCUCAAGCCCACAGGGGAACUGUGGUAACACGGAUAAAUGUGAAAUCUGCACUCUGACUAACGCGCACUCCCAGACCCAGUGUAACAGUGUUGCUUCCGUCUCUCUCCUUGCCCCAACCUGGGCUCAAACCAGGAACCCUCUGAACAACUCAACAAGUGCCUCCCAUGAACCAUUGUUACCUAUCGUUCCACAAAGCCUCGGCCCUUGCGGAGCAAGGGAAACAACUACUUCAAGGUCUCAGAGCGAGUGACGUCACUGAUUGAAAAGCUAUUAGCGUGCACCCCGCUAACUAGCUAGCCAUUUCACAAACACUACAUCAGCCAUAAGAACAACAUGAGACACAGGGAGGAGUUACAUCCAAGCAAUAAAACCUCACAAAGGUAUGUGGGGAACCCCAACUCGCUACACCACAGACAUCACCAAUCAUCAUACACCUGAACACUGUCCAAGAAGCUGUCACACCCCUAGUAGAGUGAGCUUGCACACCACUAGGCAAACCUUGUCCUUUGUUGUCACAGGCCAGGGAGAAAGCCUCCACAAUCCAAUGAGAAAGACGCUGCUUAUAAAGCGCCCUACCCAGAGUUGGAUUAUCAAAACGGACAAAAAGCUUGUCACAACGCGGAUAUCCUUGGUCCUAUCCAUAUACGUGCGUAAAGCGCACACCAGACACAGGCCAUGCAACCUGCGUUGUUCACUGGAAGCAAACGGAGGAGGUGAGAAAGGGAAAGUUCAAAUACCAGAACCUGUAAGAUAUAGGCAUAACCUUGGGAGCAAACUGCAUUAGGACGUAACCUCACUUUGGAGUCAAUACUGUAUGCGCAAGAUCCCCAGUGCCCUUGGCUGAGACAUAGAACAUGAGCAGGGCAGUCUUGUAGGAAAGGACCUCCACGUCCACAGACUCCAAUGGUUCAAACAGUGCUAGCCUCCCCACACUGACUUCCUGUCAAGGCAAGGGCUGAUUUCAACCUACAAAGCAUUACAUGGGCUUGCUCCUACCUAUCUCUCUGAUUUGGUCCUGCCGUACAUACCUACAUGUACACUACAGUCACAAGACGCUGGCCUCCUAAUUGUCCCUAGAAUUUCUAAGCAAACAGCUGGAGGCAGGGCUUUCUCCUAUAGAGCUCCAUUUUUAUGGAAUGGUCUGCCUACCCAUGUGAGAGACGCAAACUCAGUCUCAACCUUUUAAGUCUUUACUGAAGACUCAUCUCUUCAGUGGGUCAUAUGAUUGAGUGUAGUCUGGCCCAGGAGUGUGAAGGUGAACGGAAGGCUCUGGAGCAACCAACCACCCUUGCUGUCUCUGCCUGGCCGGUUCCCCUCUUUCCACUGGGAUUCUCUGCCUCUAACCCUAUUACAUGGGAUGAGUCACUGGCUUACUGGUGCUCUUUCAUGGCGUCGCUAGGAGGGGUGCGUCACUUGAGUGGGUUGAGUCACUGAUGUGAUCUCCCCCGUGGCGGAGAUCUUUGUGGGCUAUACUCGGCCUUGUCUCAGGAUGGUAAGUUGGUGGAUGAAGAUAUCCCUCUAGUGGUGUGGGGGCUGUGCUUUGGCAAAGUGGGUGGGGUUAUAUCCUUCCAUCAUCGGAAGGGGCCACAGUGUCUCCUGACCCCUCCUGUCUCAGCCUCCAGUAUUUAUGCUGCAGUAGUUUAUGUGUUGGGGGGCUAGGGUCAGUUUGUUAUAUCUGGAGUACUUCUCCUGUCUUAUCCGGUGUCCUGUGUGAAUUUAAGUAUACUCUCUCUAAUUCUCUCUUUCUCUGUUUCUUUCUCUCUCUCGGAGGACCUGAGCCGUAUGACCAUGCCUCAGGACUACCUGGCAUGAUGACUCCUUGCCUUCCCCAGUCCACCUGGCCGUCCUGCUGCUCCAGUUUCAACUGCUCUGCCUGUGGUUAUUGAAUCCUGAUCUGUUCACCGGACGUGCUACCUGCCCCAGACCUAUUAUUUGACCAUGCUGGUCAUUUAUGAACAUUUGACCAUCUUGGCCAUGUUCUGUUAUAAUCUCCACCCGGCACAGCCAGAAGAGGACUGGCCACUCCCCAUAGCCUGGUUCCUCUCUAGGUUUCUUCCUAGGUUUUGGCCUUUCUAGGGAGUUUUCCCUAGCCAACGUGCAUCAACACCUGCAUUGCUUGCUGUUUGGGGUUUUAGGCUGGGUUUCUGUACAGCACUUUGAGAUAUCAGCUGAUAUACGAAGGGCUAUAUAAACACAUUUGAUUUGAUUUGAUUCAAACAGAGGCUCAUACAGAGUAUUUAGGACCAACGCCAGAUCCCAGGUCUUUGCUAUAGGCUUAGACCCUGAUCCGAGCCUACACACGUCUUUCAGGAAACACACCACCAGAGGAUGAGACCCCAGGGUUGAGCCGUCCAUCCCUACCUGACACGUUGAAAUGGCUGACAUAUAAACCUGCUCAAAUAGCUCUUGCAAGAACAUCAAAAUGUCCACCAAAGAGCUCUGAAAAGGAGAAACUCCCUCACCCUGACAUCCACCCUCAAACGCGUGCCACUUAUAUGUACACAACCCUCUUGUAGAGGAUGCACUCGUCGACUGUAUAGUCGUAAUCAGGUUUGAGGAUAAACCCCCAGCCAUUAAAUUCCACCUUUCAGGGGCCAAACCCACAUAUCCAAUAUCUAUGGUCAUUAGGUGCCAAAUCCUUCCGUGGGACAAUAGAUCCCAAUGGCACAGAAUGCCCCACAGGUCCCCGCCCAACAAACGCAUGAUUCAGAACCAAGUCUAGAACUAGACCCAGAAACUGAAUGCACAACUUUUUCUGUGAUUUAAGAUGAAUCCCAGCUACUGAAUAUGGUAAACCAGCAUGCAAGUGUGGAGCUCCAACUUUUCCCUCGACGCCGCUACGACCAGUCAAAUGUCCAGAUAAGCCAAUACUCUUAUCCCCUGGCACUGCACCGGUGCCAAAGCCGCCUGAACCACCAUAAAAAAGGUGUGGGCGAUAGGGAGAUGGGGAGGAUGUAUAACACAUGAAAAUAUGCAUCCUUAAGAUCUAUGGAUGUGAACUAAUCGCUGGGACACGCAAUGACUGCAAUAGCCGGCGAAGUGUGAGUAUUUUGAACUUGCAACCUUGAGGUGCAUGUUUAAAACAUGCCAGUCCAGGAUGUGACGCAAUGUUCCAUCGCUCUUGGGAACUAAGAAGUACCGGCUAUACCAACAGCUCUGUACUUCUGACACAGGGACCACCCGAUUAGCCUGCUUUUGAAGGAGAUCUCCUCUCUCCAGGCAGGUGCGAGGACCUCGGGGACCGACGACGUAAUGACACCACGAAAAGAAGAAGGAGGAUUCACAGCGAACUGCAGACCGUACACCCUCGUUUCCGUCCUCAUCACCCAUGGUGACUGCACAUGCCCGCCACUGGAUGGAGCACGCUGCCAGUCUUCCAUACAUUAUCUCAAGGGGCAGAGUGCCACCCUGAGAACUGGGAUAAUUUCGAUUUUUUUUUUUUGUCAAGCUGUUUUCAUAUCCAUCACCCUUGACAAUCGUGUGAAGGAACUAUGCGUUCUGAUACCUGGCCCACAUCGUGUUUGGGGACACCCAUUCUUGGAUUAGCCACCUUGCUAGACUCUGGAGCCAAAUAGCGUGCCACUCAUCUGCAAAAUAUUUAAACAUGGGUAAGCGACAUUUCACCUCUGCCGGCACAGGAGGUAAAUACCUUCCCCCACACCUGGAGGCACUCCUCUGUGGCGGAGAUAAGCACCAUCAAAUGCACAUUCACCACCAAUGGUUCACUCGCCCUCGCCGAAUCCAAAGCCGGGACUUUAGGCUGCCCCGGUCUGAUGUCAUCCAAUUUACACUCUGAAAACCCUCCAGAACCAAUCAGGGAUAGUAUAUCAUUCCAUGGAAUCCAGACUCUGAACAUUGUCAGAGAAACCGAAAUGAGCCUAACUCAGCUGAGAUGACACCCAUAUUAAUUCAAAUCACCAAUCUUCCUCACAAAGUCAGCCCAACUCCGAAUGGAAGUUGAACUUAGCCAGAGCAGUGGUCACACAAACUGCUCCGAGCCAAUGCCUCCUGAGCAUGAUUCCAUCCCAGGCAAUAGGACAGCCCCCGUGAGUAUCUUUCAUUUCCAUUGUGAAACUACAUGCGGUGGAGGUUCAAACUCGGCCGGUUAGCUUUUUUGAACAGACUCUUACCACUGGCCAUCUUACUCAAGCAAGGAAGCAUUAGCUACACAAGCAGAGCAGAACGUAGGUCACUGUUACCAAACACAAAAACUGAUACCAAGACCUAAAAACUGAAACAUCUAGGGGGACGAGUACUCUCUCCCCACUAACAGACACCUGAGUCCGAUCCGAAUCUCCUAGCCAUCAUGUGCUUUAAAGGUUUGUAUAUUGCGUUACAUGUUCUUCCUUCAGGUGAGCUGAAGAGCCCCGGUGUUAUAGCCAGGAAGGCGGGGCUUCCGAGGGUGGGAUCAACAUCCACUGGCCCGUUGGGCAUCAUUUCAGUUUGCUUCAGAUAUCUCUUUCAUGCUGUUCUGUGAGUCACCACUUUUCCUGUAAGUUGGACAAACUAAAAUGGUCCACACCAUAUAGAUAGUGUGGUGAAGAAGGCAGCGCCUCUUCAACCUGAAGAAAUGUGUCUUGUCACUCAAAACCCUGACAAACUUUUACAGAUGCACAAUCGAAAGCAUCCUGUCAGGCUGUAUCUGGUACGGCAACUGCACCGCAAGGCUCUCCAGAGGGUGGUCUGGUCUGCAUCAACGGGGGAAAACUACCUAGCCUCCAUGAGACCUACAGGACAACAACCAUCUGAGCCACUGCCUGUUAACACCGCUGCUAUCCAGAGGGUGGUCUGGUCUGCAUCAACGGGGGAAAACUACCUAGCCUCCAUGAGACCUACAGGACAACAACCAUCUGAGCCACUGCCUGUUAACACCGCUGCUAUCCAGAGGGUGGUCUGGUCUGCAUCAACGGGGGAAAACUAGCUAGCCUCCAUGAGACCUACAGGACAACAACCAUCUGAGCCACUGCCUGUUAACACCGCUGCUAUCCAGAGGGUGGUCUGGUCUGCAUCAACGGGGGAAAACUACCUAGCCUCCAUGAGACCUACAGGACAACAACCAUCUGAGCCACUGCCUGUUAACACCGCUGCCAUCCAGAAGGUGGUCUGGUCUGCAUCAACGGGGGAAAACUACCUAGCCUCCAUGAGACCUACAGGACAACAACCAUCCGAGCCACUGCCUGUUAACACCGCUGCUAUCCAGAAGGCGAGGUCAGUACAGGUGCAUCAAAGCUGGGACUGAGAGACUGAAAAACAGCUUCUAUCUCAAGGCCAUCAGGCUGAUUUUAUAUUUGCCAUGUAUUUUUUAACUGUGCUGUGAUGUUUCACAAAAGUUCUGAACCUUUCUAUUUGCAUAGUUUCUACAGAUUGUCAUUUUAAAGAACAUUUAUUUGCUAAGAGUAUUAUUAUAUUAUUGAUCAAGUGACUAUGACUUUUCAAAUCACCCAGCAGUGCUAUUUGCAGAGUUAGCGCUAGGUAAAUGUUGCAAUUCGUCAGCCAUCCCUGAACCUGCAAACAAAAACAAGCUACAUAUGGACAGUACCAAAACAAAUUAUCCAAUGUUUAUGUCUCUUCGUAGCAACAUCUGCAUAGCUGGGAUGGUUGUAUCCCCCAUAUAUAUAACAUUCUCUUAGUUGCAAGAAUUUUGCAUAAUAAUUAAAAUGGAAAAA